rnacentral:rRNA from 1 species
GACAGAGGGUGCAAACGUUGUUCGGAAUUAUUGGGCGUAAAGGGCGCGUAGGCGGUGCGGUAAGUCACCUGUGAAAUCUCCUGGCUCAACUGGGAGUCUGCAGGCGAAACUGCCGUGCUGGAGUGUGGGAGAGGUGAGUGGAAUUCCCGGUGUAGCGGUGAAAAUGCGUAGAUAUCGGGAGGAACACCUGUGGCGAAAAGCGGCUCACUGGACCACAACUGACGCUGAGGCGCGAAAGCUAGGGGAGCAAACAGGGAUAAGAUACCCCC